rnacentral:rRNA from 1 species
UACGUAGGGUGCAAGCGUUAAUCGGAAUACUGGGCGUAAAGCGUGCGCAGGCGGUUAUGUAAGACAGGUGUGAAAUCCCAGGGCUUAACCUUGGAACUGCAUUUGUGACUGCAUAGCUAGAGUACGGUAGAGGGGGGAUGGAAUUCCGCGUGUAGCAGUGAAAUGCGUAGAUAUGCGGAGGAACACCGAUGGCGAAGGCAAUCCCCUGGACCUGUACUGACGCUCAUGCACGAAAGCGUGGGGAGCAAACAGG